rnacentral:misc_RNA from 1 species
CCAGAGUCUACGUAGCUCUCCAGAGCUAGGCCUGAUCAGUAACUUUUUUUAAUAAUAAAUAUGCUCAAUCCGCUUAACACCUAUAAAAACGGAAACCCAUGCCAAAAAAAGAAAACCCAAAAAGAAAACCCAAAAGAGUAUAUAAAUACAAAUUUCCACACAAUAGAAUCACAAUUCCCCCUUCACCAGCCAAAGAGAAAACUAAAUCUGAUUCCUUGUACAAAUAGUGUC